AUGCGAGGUGCCCUGUGCCUGGCAGAGUCCAAACGAAAAGGAGAGCAAAAUGUUUGGCUAUAUGGAUGCCCAACUAUUUUGCAGAUACACUACUUCAACUCGGUUGAUACCGGUUAUCUCACCAUCGAUACAACAAAGCAAGCCGCGGUUAAGCUGUAUUCAACUUCUGUAGUGAGAACUUUCAUCGAAGCAGAUACCUUCGAAGAGGAUGGCCAGGUCAAGUAUGGAGGCUUGAAGGGAAAAGUUGCUUGUUCUGGAAAAGCUAUAGCUGUCGGUUGUAUACACUAUGAGACACUAUUAUACCUAAAAGGAAAGUUGAGAAUGUCUAUGUUAAAGGCAGAUUCAGUAUGUCAUGAGUUCAACGAGCUCAUGUCCAAGGAUCAUUCAAAUGAUGUUGGCAUGAUAAAGAGACGGAUAGAAGAGCAUGAUAUGGCACAGACUCUAUCGAGGCUUCAUGAAUGGAAAGAUAACGACGCCAAAAUUGAACCAGCCUUAAAAGGUAAAUGUGGAUGGAGCCCAAAUAUGCCACCACGCAUAUUAGAAGGUGUGGUUGUUAGUACAGAAGACUGUAAUGAUAUUGAAAAUUGGGAAAGGAAGAAAAUUGCAACAGGAUCUGCAAGUACAGAUGAGGACCAUGAUAUCAAAACAGUAGCAGAGGCACUUGCUGGGAUGAAAGCAGGUUUGUUUGGUGCUGGGUUAAGUGGGGCAUGUGGCUCUAGGCAAGGUACAUGCACACGUACAACUACAGUCAAUUCAACAAAGCAGACACUGAUGGUACAAGAAGCUAGUUCACUUACUGGAGAAAUAAACAAGGGCGGUAAGUUUGUGUUCUUGUUUACUGUUGAAGAUAAAGCAUCAUGUUCCAUAUGA
rnacentral:rRNA from 1 species